AACUCAAGACAGUUCACAAUCACAGAUCUAUUAUUAUCUAUUAUUGUAUUAUACUACACAGUUUGUGAUGAAUAACAAAGGUCACAGCUUUUGGCAACACUCUAAAUCUACAGUGAAAAAAUUAAAGAGAUAAAAGGUCAAUCUUUGCUGUAAAGAAAACUUGAAUCUAACCAAGAAAGGAAAGUCUUAUAAGCUUUUACAUUGUUUCACCAAGGAGCUUUUUGGUUUCACAAAUGUCCCAGGUACUCUUGCUGUAUUGGAUGCUAAAAGGUCAACUUCCGACCUUGGGGUCAACAUCCUAAAGGCCACAGAAAUACUACGAUCUGAUUGGACCGUCGGAUACGCAUGCGCACCAUGCGGGCGGGACGAUUAGAAAAAAAGUCGUUACAGAAAUGAGAUCGGACAUGACUACGAGGUUUUACGUAUCGCUUUCUACGCUAAAAAUGGCACAAGGAGUCUACUAUGGUCGGUCAGAAAUUUGGGAGAGGCUUGUGAGUGUUGGGGGAAUAUGGUGUAAGCUUAAACGGACGGAAAAUGAUCGUGACUGAUGUUUUUGGAUGUACGUUUGGCGGCCGCCCCCCUCCCACCCUGUGCGGCGCACCCCUAACAGGAUUACCAACAUGUACUUCGUACAGCUGCAGUAGAUACCUCCUUCAGAUAUACAGCACAAGUUGUGAGGGUGGAUAGCCAGAAGUAAAGCAAGCAUCAGCCAGAAGUUUAGCUGCUGAGUACUUCAAUGCUGCUACACACUCCAUAGGAACUGGCUCAUCACACAAAGGACUCCAAACUCCUGCCAAGGAGUUCAGGAUUCAGACACAGAAGAAGGCAGCCUGUGCUGGUGUGGACACUACACGGAGUGCUUUGCAGCAGAGGACUAGAAUAUAGAUGAGAAUUUGGAGAGGAUGUUAUAAGUUUACUUACCUGUAUUUAAACAUUUGUAUCGACAACAACUUUGUUCUUAUAUCUGAUCGCUGUUGGCCUAAGGGCUGCUAACUGACUAAGACCUUCAUAGCUUCUGAAAACUUCCAGUAUGAAGUAAGUUGUGUUUCAGUGUUGUGCAAUUGUAUGAACCAUGUGAUUAUGAUUUGUGAUACAUUUUACAUAGUUGUCAGUAUUAUAUUGUACCUACACAGGUCCCAUUUGAUAAUUCCAUUUGUACCUGCAUAUACUGGUGGUAUUUUGAACCCUCACUUGCAUCUGCCCCUCACCCUUCUCUAAAGAAAAGGGAUUUCUUAGCCAGAUCACUAUAGGCUUGUUUUUAAUCUGUUAUUAAUAUAGAAAUGAUAGGUUAUGAAUUCCCCAAUCUGUGAAGUGAAGAUAAUGAUGAAUUAUUGCUUGGAUAAACAUGCAGCAUUACAUGAUGCUGAUAGGAUCAUGUUGGCAAAGUGUAAAACAAUACAGGCCUUGAGCACUGAAUGUCAUAUGUCAUUUAUGCAUUGCAGUUUUUAUUGUCAUGUUACUGUUUCUUUCAUUCGUCUUGAGUAUCUGAUUAUAUAGUGGAACAUUUUGAUUCAUACAUUUGUUAACAGUGACAGCAUAGUUUAGAUAUUGCACAGAGUAUGUGAUACAACUGUUUUUAUAAAAAAAGUACAUAUAUUGCAAAUUCUUGCCUGAGGGCUUAUUGUAGUCUCCAGGCAGACAUGUCAGCUGGAUGAAAAAGAUAGGGACAAAUAAGGUACCAUGGGAUUUCAGUCUUUUGCAACCUAUUCAAUUAUCUGCCUGCCAGUCAGUUCACUCCUUGGCCAACUAACUCCUACUCAAAAUUCCCCUAUUACCAUUUGACCAGGCCAGAGUCUGGUAGAAACAAAUAGUGUAUGGCAAAAGUAUUCUUGUAUAUAAUUUCUAAAGCCUGUUUGUCAGUGCACAAUCACGGAGACUGAUGAUAGGUUUAGAUAGUGUGUGAUGAUAAACUGAUGCUACUUUGUUGAAUGUCAUUCAUGAUAUAUAGCUUGUAAACAGGACAGUUGAUUAAUGUCCAAUCAUACUAUGAACAUUACUUUAAACUUGAAUUAUAAGAAAAGGUAACAAUUGUAUAUGGUAAAGCUAGAGCAUUUAUCUGUUUACCCUUUCGAAAACCUGUCAAUGUUGAUAUGUUUAUCCAAUAAAUAUUACUGAGUUCUGCCACAAA